CCGUGAGAGAGAAGGGAGAAGGGAGGAACAAGAAGAAGAAGAGAAAAUAGGGGAAAAUAAGGGAAAAAGAAAAGGAGUUGGAGGAAAUAAGUAAAAAGGGAUAAUCCUGAUAUUCUACCGGCGGGACGUCAGUAGGAUUUUCUUCGAUAUCAGCUUUGAGUUUUGUUGCUUUCGAGUCAGGCUUAUAGCUUGAUAGCAGGUCAUUUUGUUGGACCUUCAGAACCUGCUUUUUUAUUGUACUUUGUACCUUUCCUUUAUGUCUAGUUAGUGCUUCAAAACU